GACGAACGCUGGCGGCGUGCUUAACACAUGCAAGUCGAACGGUAAGGCCCUUCGGGGUACACGAGUGGCGAACGGGUGAGUAACGCGUGAGUAACCUGCCCUUGACUCUGGGAUAACAGAUGGAAACGUCUGCUAAUACCGGAUACUCAGCCUUGUGGGCAUCCGCAGGGUUGGAAAGCUCCGGCGGUCAAGGAUGGACUCGCGUCCUAUCAGCUAGUCGGUGGGGUAACGGCCUACCAAGGCGACGACGGGUAGCCGGCCUGAGAGGGCGACCGGCCACAUUGGGACUGAGAUACGGCCCAGACUCCUACGGGAGGCAGCAGUGGGGAAUAUUGCACAAUGGGCGAAAGCCUGAUGCAGCAACGCCGCGUGCGGGAUGACGGCCUUCGGGUUGUAAACCGCUUUCAGCAGGGACGAAGCGCAAGUGACGGUACCUGCAGAAGAAGCACCGGCUAACUACGUGCCAGCAGCCGCCGUAAAAC
rnacentral:rRNA from 1 species